GGCAAGGUAGUUUAUAUAGAAUAUUUGUUUUACACACAGAUGGAAAGAUUUUUCUUUAUUGCUA
rnacentral:tRNA from 1 species